AGAGAGAGACAUGCGCGCAUAUCAAUAAGCGGAGGAAAAGAAACUAACUAGGAUUCCCUUAGUAACGGCGAGUGAAGCGGGAAGAGCUCAAAUUUGAAAUCUUCAAGGUUCUACCUUGACGAAUUGUAGUUUAUAGAAGUGUUUUCUGUUAGUAGGAGUGGCAAAAGUUCUUUGGAAUAGGACAUCAUAGAGGGUGAGAAUCCCGUAUUUGGUCAUUCCUUCCUAGCGUUGUGAUACACUUUCAACGAGUCGGAUUGUUUGGGAAUGCAGUCCAAAAUGGGUGGUAAAUCUCAUCUAAAGCUAAAUAUUGGCGAGAGACCGAUAGCGAACAAGUACCGUGAGGGAAAGAUGAAAAGAACUUUGAAAAGAGAGUUAAACAGUACGUGAAAUUGUCAAAAGGGAAGCGUUUGACACCAGUGUUGUUUUUCCGAAAAUCAAUUACGAAUGUUUUAUUUUUGAGGAGUUAUGACUUCAUCGGCUUGCUCCUUUCUUUACGAAACUUUCUUAAUGCACUUUUCGGUUAACAAGUCAACAUCAAUUUCUUUUGUUGUAAAAGGGUAUGAGGAAGGUGGCUUUCUUUUCGGAGAAAGUGUUUAUAGCCUCGUGCCUCUGCAAUCGGAGAGAUUGAGGUCUGCAGCGUAGAUCCUUCGGGGUUAGAUACAGUUUGUGCUAAGUUAUAGCUUUUCAUAGACAACUUGUUGACUAUGUUUAGUCUUGUAGCUUACUCGCUUAUGCUAUUUUACCUACGCUUAGGAUGUUGAUAGUCACAGCGUGUAC
rnacentral:rRNA from 1 species